rnacentral:rRNA from 1 species
GUACACGCUGUGACUAGCAUAUCAAUAAGCGGAGGAAAAGAAACUAACAAGGAUUCCCUUAGUAACGGCGAGUGAAGCGGGAAGAGCUCAAAUUUGAAAUCUUCAAGGUUUUACCUUGACGAAUUGUAGUUUAAAGAAGUGUUUUCUGCUGAAGUUUUGGUAAAAGUUCUUUGGAAUAGGACAUCAUAGAGGGUGAGAAUCCCGUAUUUGACCAUUAUUUUCAGCUUUGUGAUACACUUUCAAAGAGUCGGAUUGUUUGGGAAUGCAGUCCAAAAUGGGUGGUAAAUUUCAUUCUAAAGCUAAAUAUUGGCGAGAGACCGAUAGCGAACAAGUACCGUGAGGGAAAGAUGAAAAGAACUUUGAAAAGAGAGUUAAACAGUACGUGAAAUUGUCAAAAGGGAAGCGUUUGACACCAGUGUUGUUUUCUCGAAAAUCAAUUAAAAAUGGCUCGAUUUUGUAUUGCUAGAGACCUUAAAAGCUCACUGUACAUUUUUCGUGUCUUUUUUAAUGCACUUUUCGUUUAACAAGUCAACAUCAGUUUCUUUUGUUGUAAAAGGGUCAUUGGAAGGUGGCUUUCUUUUCGGAGAAAGUGUUUAUAGCCUUUGGCCUCUGCAAUCGGAGAGACUGAGGUCUGCAGCGUAGACUCUUCGGGGUUAGAUACAUUUGUGCUAAGUUAUAGCUUUUUAUAGACAACUUGUUGACUAUAAUUAGUCUUGUAGCUUACUCGCUUAUGCUAUUUUACCUACGCUUAGGAUGUUGAGUAGCGACAUACGCAC